GCUGCUUCAUUGCCAAGAAUGACCAGCCUGGGCCUCCAGACUAUAUAUGCUAAUGUCACUUAUUUGUGAAGGUCUCUUGCUCAUUAUUAGCUUCUAAGGAGUUCCUCCUGAUGACUCUGAACGUCUGGCUGAAUAUGAAGUUUCUGGGCCACCAGUAAGAUGCUUCUCCCAGACGCGAGGAGAGAUUUGGCAGCAGGCAGCAUCUUCCCAGCCAGCAGCUCAUCGUUGGACUCAUGAGCCACCCUGGCAGAAGGAUGCUGAUCUCAGGUGGUCAACCAACCAUGAAGGUAUCUCUGUGGCUAGUAAAGGAGGGGCUGGAAAUGACAGCUGCACUGCAGGCGAGGAGUUACAAACCAGAGACAUCUUCCAGAAAAGCAACAGACUAGAGUUAAGCAACACUACAGACACAGACAAAAAUUAAAAACUAGAACGCCUAUAUCCCAGUGUGUGAGGCACUUCAAAUCAAAACGAAGGGAACCAGAAUGCCUGGAACAAAUGGUUAAAUUAAAAAGCAACAAGAGAAAUGUGGUCUACAGGUGUCCGUGCCUGCUCCACCUGUAACACUCGUACAUACAUACACACAGAUGGAAAUUCAUUUUGCCCUCUUUAAAACUCAGUGUUACCUUCUUGCAACAUAAGCAAGUUCUUCAGUAGCUUUGGCUAAUUCUUCGGCAGCUUUUUCUAAAUCAGCUAGGCGCUCGUUAUUCAACCCAUCCCACUCGGCUGCUAUCAUUAAAUGACAAAGUUGAGCUGCCAUGGGUGAAAUAAUUCUCUCAAUGGUUUUGUUGGAGGUUACAGCCCUGAUGUCAUACAGAUAAAAAGGCUCCAUUGCUUCUCGGCUACAAACAGAAGACACGCAAUUAAAGAUUCAUCUCCACAAUACAGUAAUAUUAAUUAACAACAGAAUGCACUAACUCUGCACCUUCCAGCCAAACAUCUCAAAGAACCUUGGGAAUAUUAAUGAAUUUAGUCUCACAACGCCCUUGCAUUAUCCCCAAUUUUGCUGCAAGCUGUUUCUACAAUCAGAGGAUGGGGUGUGCACCCCGCACUGGCUCUGGUGGAGUUAAUACAGGCAAAAGAGGCCAGUUAGCCAUAAGCUGUACCUGGAGGAGAAUGAGGAGGCCGAGAGACUGAACUGGGGAUGAAGCUCACCUGGGCAGGGGCAGGGGCAGGGGUGGUGUCUAUAAAGCUGGGAGCUGGCACCAG